GAAUUCGAAAAACGGGGAAAUAACAGAUAAUUUAACACAAUUCCCUGGUUUAUUUAAGUGCAAUAAACUAAAUAUAGUUCAAGAAAUAACCACUCAUCAGUCCGCCGGUGAUAUUCCGCCGGUAAUACAUCGAUUUCUUGUAUGACCUUUUUGUGGAGUGUGGGGAGGUUGGGUGAAAGAUGGAAGGAAGAGACGAGGGAGAGAGGGAGAAAAGGUGAGAAACACUGACUCAAUGUAAGAAAAAAGAAAUUGUGUCAGUCUACCGUUAGGCACAUCAGCUGGUUUUUAAUGGUGUUAGUUUUUGAGGACUAAAAUCAAAAUUUCCUUAAGGACAAGGACUAAAAUAUACCUUACUUUAAAAGAGGGACUAAAACCAAAACCGAUUAAUAAUAUAAAGACUAAAAACAUAUUGAACCCAAACUUUUUCAAUUUAAUUAGGUUUCUCUAAAUUACUUAAUAAC
rnacentral:lncRNA from 1 species